AUACGUAGGUGGCAAGCGUUGUCCGGAUUUACUGGGCGUAAAGAGUAUGUAGGCGGAUAUUUAAGUCAGAUGUGAAAUUCCCGGGCUCAACCUGGGAAGUGCAUUUGAAACUGGGUAUCUAGAGUGCAGGAGAGGGAAGCGGAAUUCCUAGUGUAGCGGUGAAAUGCGUAGAUAUUAGGAAGAACACCAGUGGCGAAGGCGGCUUCCUGGACUGUAACUGACGCUGAGGCACGAAAGCGUGGGGAGC
rnacentral:rRNA from 1 species